AUAACAGCUGCAUUACUGAUCGAUCGUUUCUGACACAAAAGGUAAAAGAUUUGAAGAUUGAUAUUCAAUAUCUAAGUUUGACUUUUAAUUAUUGCAUAUUUUUAACUAAAUUUAUUUUUUUAAAAAUAUAAACAAAACAGAUAGCAUGUUAUUUAUCUCUAAAAAAAAACAACAACAGCUGCAUUAUAUAAAAUAAAAUACAUUGUAAAUAAAUUAAAUUGCGUUAAAUAAAAUUAUAAAAUGUUUAAUCACCGGCAUAUAAUAAUAAUAAUAAUAAUAAUAAUAAUAUAUUAAAAUAAUAAUUGUAAAUUUUUAAUAUUUUUAUAUUAGAUAAAAAUGUUAUUUGGUUGAAUAUUAUGAAUUUAUGUGAAAUAAUUGGUAAAGAAAAGACCUUUUGAGAGAAAGGUAGGACGCUACCCGCUUCGUUUAUUUUGAGUCUCGAGUACCAACCAUCAAAAGCCCUUUUCCCACUUGCCCUAGGGACGGUUAGUACUUCCUAAUGACUUUCAAUUGUAGCAAAACAUUUAUUAAAA
rnacentral:lncRNA from 1 species